UCCGGCAACAUGGUACGGCGUCAGCUGACCCAGCCGCUCAAGAACGCGCACAUUUCACCAACGCAACGGGCCACGACACCGCAGUUACGAUGCCACGCUCACCGCUGAUGCUCUUCCAGGCAUUCCUGUCCGACGCGUACACCUGGAGACAAACCUCAGGCAAGUGCUUCAUCGCUUCCAACCAAGACAUUCAUCGAUCAUGGCGGACCGCAUGGCCAGCUCUUACCUCGGACGAAUCGGCGCAUGUGUAUCGGACAACAUUUAUCGGAGCGGCGACAACACACAGCAUCGGCUACGUAAAUCGAGCCACCGCGCGCGCACGACAAAGCCAGCAUGAAUGAAGGCGCCUCAACCUCUUCUGUUUUUGCAGGGCUCGCAGAAGUCCUCACUAGGAAGGAGCAGCAGUGGGAGCGAAGACGAAACGCAAUUUAAUUCCAACUUACAAACCAACGUGGACUGCUUGGCAGAUGCAAGGACAGAGCUACUUUACCAACUUGUCCGCUACACUGCCGAACUGUCACCGCGCGCUGUCCGACCCCGGCGGAAAACACGCCUCAGGUGGACACAAGACCGGCCUUCCGUGCCGUUCACAGUGCUACAACCGCAGUUGGUGCAGACAUACACCGAUGCACGGGCGUGGCAGGUGGCACUUGGUAACCCCGAAGCUGCGCCUCUCGACUUGUGUAGAGGCUUUGUUGUGUUACAACAAGAUCUGAGCCGGUUCACGAGGCGCGUGUGUGUGUUUGUGUGUGCAAUCACUACAGCACGCGCUGCUGAGCUGGCCGUGCUCCCAUUCGUCAAAGGAAAAGAGGAAGUGAAGCGAAUUUUGCGUGACAUUAUAGCGUGACGAGGUUCUGGGACUGAACUAAGCUGUUUGUGGAUUAUCUGCCACGCUAGUUUAUUCUCGUUAAGCGCCAACGUUGCUGAUCUCUAG